rnacentral:rRNA from 1 species
UACGUAGGGGGCGAGCGUUGUCCGGAGUUACUGGGCGUAAAGCGCUUGUAGGCGGUCCACCAAGUUUGGGGUGACAGUUGCCGACUUAAUCGGCAAAGUGCCUCAAAGACAGGCGGACUUGAGGGCCACAGAGGGACAUGGAACUCCAGGUGUAGUGGUGAAAUGCGUAGAUAUCUGGAAGAACACCAAAGGCGAAGGCAGUGUCCUGGGUGGUCGCUGACGCUGAGAGGCGAAAGCCAGGGGAGCGAACGGG